UACGAAGGGUGCAAGCGUUAAUCGGAAUUACUGGGCGUAAAGCGUGCGUAGGCGGUUUGUUAAGUCUGUUGUGAAAUCCCCGGGCUCAACCUGGGAAUGGCAAUGGAUACUGGCAAGCUAGAGUGUGUCAGAGGAUGGUGGAAUUCCCGGUGUAGCGGUGAAAUGCGUAGAGAUCGGAAGGAACACCAGUGGCGAAGGCGGCUACCUGGCCCAACACUGACACUGAGGCACGAAAGCGUGGGGAGCAAACAGG
rnacentral:rRNA from 1 species